rnacentral:rRNA from 1 species
ACGGGAGGCAGCAGUGGGGAAUAUUGCACAAUGGGGGAAACCCUGAUGCAGCGACGCCGCGUGAGUGAAGAAGUAUUUCGGUAUGUAAAGCUCUAUCAGCAGGGAAGAUAAUGACGGUACCUGACUAAGAAGCCCCGGCUAACUACGUGCCAGCAGCCGCGGUAAUACGUAGGGGGCAAGCGUUAUCCGGAUUUACUGGGUGUAAAGGGAGCGUAGACGGUCUGGCAAGUCUGAAGUGAAAUGCCGGGGCUCGACCCCGGAACUGCUUUGGAAACUGUUGGACUGGAGUGCAGGAGAGGUAAGCGGAAUUCCUAGUGUAGCGGUGAAAUGCGUAGAUAUUAGGAGGAACACCAGAGGCGAAGGCGGCUUACUGGACUGUAACUGACGUUGAGGCUCGAAAGCGUGGGGAGCAAACAGGAUUAGAUACCCUGGUA